AGUGAACGCUGGCGGCGUGCUUAACACAUGCAAGUCGAACGAGAACGGAUUAUAGCUUGCUAUAAUUGUCAGCUAAGUGGCGCACGGGUGAGUAAUGUAUAGGUAAUAUGCCUCUUACUAAGGGAUAACAAAUGGAAACGUUUGCUAAUACCUUAUACUCCUUAUUAACAUAAGUUAAUAAGGGAAAGAUUUAUUGGUAAGAGAUUAGCCUGUAUUGUAUCAGUUAGUUGGUGGGGUAAUGGCUUACCAAGACUAUGACACAUAACUGGUUUGAGAGGAUGAUCAGUCACACUGGAACUGAGACACGGCCCAGACUCCUACGGGAGGCAGCAGUGGGGAAUAUUGCACAAUGGACGAAAGUCUGAUGCAGCAACGCCGCGUGGAGGAUGACACAUUUCGGUGCGUAAACUCCUUUUAUAUGAGAAGAUAAUGACGGUAUUAUAUGAAUAAGCACCGGCUAACUCCGUGCCAGCCGCCGCGGUAA
rnacentral:rRNA from 1 species